CGCCAAUGCGGCAUCUAUCAUGCAGUCGAGCGGACAGAAGGGAGCUUGCUCCCGGAUGUUAGCGGCGGACGGGUGAGUAACACGUGGGUAACCUGCCUGUAAGACUGGGAUAACUCCGGGAAACCGGAGCUAAUACCGGAUAGUUCCUUGAACCGCAUGGUUCAAGGAUGAAAGACGGUUUCGGCUGUCACUUACAGAUGGACCCGCGGCGCAUUAGCUAGUUGGUGGGGUAAUGGCUCACCAAGGCGACGAUGCGUAGCCGACCUGAGAGGGUGAUCGGCCACACUGGGACUGAGACACGGCCCAGACUCCUACGGGAGGCAGCAGUAGGGAAUCUUCCGCAAUGGACGAAAGUCUGACGGAGCAACGCCGCGUGAGUGAUGAAGGUUUUCGGAUCGUAAAGCUCUGUUGUUAGGGAAGAACAAGUGCGAGAGUAACUGCUCGCACCUUGACGGUACCUAACCAGAAAGCCACGGCUAACUACGUGCCAGCAGCCGCGGUAAUACGUAGGUGGCAAGCGUUGUCCGGAAUUAUUGGGCGUAAAGGGCUCGCAGGCGGUUUCUUAAGUCUGAUGUGAAAGCCCCCGGCUCAACCGGGGAGGGUCAUUGGAAACUGGGAAACUUGAGUGCAGAAGAGGAGAGUGGAAUUCCACGUGUAGCGGUGAAAUGCGUAAAGAUGUGGAGGAACACCAGUGGCGAAGGCGACUCUCUGGUCUGUAACUGACGCUGAGGAGCGAAAGCGUGGGGAGCGAACAGGAUUAGAUACCCUGGUAGUCCACGCCGUAAACGAUGAGUGCUAAGUGUUAGGGGGUUUCCGCCCCUUAGUGCUGCAGCUAACGCAUUAAGCACUCCGCCUGGGGAGUACGGUCGCAAGACUGAAACUCAAAGGAAUUGACGGGGGCCCGCACAAGCGGUGGAGCAUGUGGUUUAAUUCGAAGCAACGCGAAAAACCUUACCAGGUCUUGACAUCCUCUGACAACCCUAGAGAUAGGGCUUUCCCUUCGGGGACAGAGUGACAGGUGGUGCAUGGUUGUCGUCAGCUCGUGUCGUGAGAUGUUGGGUUAAGUCCCGCAACGAGCGCAACCCUUGAUCUUAGUUGCCAGCAUUUAGUUGGGCACUCUAAGGUGACUGCCGGUGACAAACCGGAGGAAGGUGGGGAUGACGUCAAAUCAUCAUGCCCCUUAUGACCUGGGCUACAC
rnacentral:rRNA from 1 species